CAUGGAGGGUGAGAAUCCCGUCCGGUUGAUCAUUUGCGUUUUACGAUACGCUUUCUAAGAGUCAAGUUGUUUGGGAUUGCAGCUUAAAAUGGGAGGUAAAUUUCUCCUAAGGCUAAAUAACGGCGAGAGACCGAUAGCGAACAAGUACCGUGAGGGAAAGAUGAAAAGAACUUUGAAAAGAGAGUAAAAUAGUACGUGAAAUUGUUGAAAGGGAAACGAUUGAAGUCAGUCGUACCGACGAGAAAUCAACUCUUUGAGUGCGGGCUUGUGGGCAUGCGGGUGUCUCGUUGUUUGCAACGUCUGUGCUUUUUGGGUGUACUUUUUCGUAUGGUAGGCCAACAUCAGUUUCGAUUAUCAUAAAAUGACCGGAGGAAUGUAGCUUCGAUUUCGAUUGAAGUGUUAUAGCCUUUGGUAGAUGUGGUGAUGGAGACUGAGGAUUGCAACGAAUACCCUUCGGGCUAUCUGUCUGACCUCUGAAAGUUGCUUAGGUGCCGAAAGCGUGCUUACGGUCAUUUAACGCGACGGUCAAAAGGUUAGAACGUGAUUACAUUCGUUAAGGAUGUUGACGUAAUGG
rnacentral:rRNA from 1 species